CCGAGGCACGGGGAGAACAUGCAAACUCCACACACACAAGGCGGAGGCGGGAAUCAAACCCCCAACCCUGGAGGUGUGAGGCGAACGUGCUAACCACUAAGCCACCGAGCUAAAUACAAAAACGCUCUGCCACCUUUAGUAGACUUAGAUAUUCUGGGAACUACCAGAAGUCCUGAGUUUUGUGAUCUCAGAGAGCGUGAAGGAUUGUAACGUGUUAGAAGACUAGUUAGAUACAUGGGAGCUAAACCAUUAAGAGCCUUGUACGUAAGUAGCAGCAAUUUGUAAUCAAUUCUAAACUUAACAGGUAGCCAGUGUAGAGAUGAUAAAAUUGGGGUUAUAUGGUCAUACUUUCUUGUCCUAGUGAGAACUCUGGCAGCUGCAAUUUGGACUAACUGUAGCCUAUUUAUUAAAGAUGCAGGACAACCACCUAGUAAUGCAUUACAAUAGUCCAGUCUAGAGGUCAUGUAAGCAUGAACUAGCUUCUCAGCAUCAGAUACAGACAGGAUGUUUCUCAGCUUGGCAAUAUUUCUAAGGUGGAAGAAGGCUGUUUUUGUAGUAUGAGCGAUAUGAUUUUCAAAAGACAAGUUGCUGUCUAAUAUAACACCCAGGUCUUUAACACUGGAAAUGCUGUGUGUGUCUGUGUGCACGUUGCUUUUUGUUUUAAGUCACUGACAUCCCCAAAGCUACUACCUCCACCAACACCAACCUCCCCGACACCACCAUCAGGAUCAUCCCCAUCAUCAUCAUCACCAUCAUCAUCAUUGGGAUUGGAGUCCUGAUCUGGGGACGCAAACCAGGGAGGAGAAACAGUCUGGAGGAGCUUGAGAAGCUGCUGUAAACAAACAGAAUAACAAGGAGGAGUUUCCAGAGCUUUCUGUCUGUCAGUGAGGAUUACAGUUCAGCUUCAGUGCCUCUGUCCUUCCUGCACUUGUCUUUUCCAUCACUGCACUUUUCUGCACUUUUCCAUGAACUUUUUGUUUGUUUGUUUGUUUCAGAUAUUUAGUGGAUAAAGCAAUAGAUUUCAAUCCAAUGUGCAAUGUUUUUAUACAAAUCUGUUAAUACUCUUACAAUGCACAACUUUUCAGACUUUGUAGUAAUUUUGUGAAGCUCAUAAUUCUGUUAGAAAACAUCACUGAUAUUAAAAAAGGGAGAAAACUGCAUUUUAUAUAAAUGUUGGUCAAGUAACUACAGUAUUUUUAAACUGUCCCUUAAUCUUGUACUGUUAAUUAAAAUUUACAGAACCAAAUAUCUGUAUUCUGUAACUUAAAUUAUAAUUCCUGUUCACUACUAAUAGGAAUAAGAGAUUAUUAUAGAGAUUAUAUUGAUAUUUCAAGAAUAUUUAUUUAUUUUGUUAAUAUUUCUUCACAAUAUUUUAUGCUGGCAUUAAGAAAUAUGUGGAUUUAUUUAUUAAUUCAUUUACAAAUGAAGGAGCAUUUUAAAUCUCUGAAUGUAUCAUUAACGUGCUGGUCAUGUUUUAAUCAAACCCAGUAAAUAAAAUAGAAUUUAUAAUCUGGCAAUCUGAAUUCCUUUUUAUAAUCAAUUUCACUGAGUAGUGGUGAUGUUUUUAGCACAAUUAUGAUCAGGAAUUUUAAGCUUUCAUCAAACAGCAAGUGAACAUAUUUUGCUUCUUUCUUUCCUCUGGCAGGCUGGACUGUGUGUAAUGUAAUUCUGACCAAGCUUUAAUCUGUAACUUUACUUGUAUUUUUUAUCAUCUUUUUAAAUA